CCUUACCAACACUUGACAUGUUCGUCGCGACUCUAAGAGAUUAGAGUUUUCGGUUCGGCCGGACGAAACACAGGUGCUGCAUGGCUGUCGUCAGCUCGUGUCGUGAGAUGUUGGGUUAAGUCCCGCAACGAGCGCAACCCUUGUCCUUAUUUGCCAUCAUUUAGUUGGGCACUCUAGGGAAACUGCCCGUGAUAAGCGGGAGGAAGGUGUGGAUGACGUCAAGUCCUCAUGGCCCUUACGGGUUGGGCUACACACGUGCUACAAUGGCAGUGACAAUGGGUUAAUCCCAAAAAACUGUCUCAGUUCGGAUUGGGGUCUGCAACUCGACCCCAUGAAGUCGGAAUCGCUAGUAAUCGCGUAACAGCAUGACGCGGUGAAUACGUUCCCGGGUCUGUACACACCGA
rnacentral:rRNA from 1 species